CGCGUAGGUGGUUCCAUAAGUUGGGCGUGAAAGCCCCCGGCUUAACUGGGGAGGGUCGUUCAAUACUGUGGGACUUGAGGGUGGACGAGGAGACUGGAAUUCCCGGUGUAGUGGUGAAAUGCGUAGAUAUCGGGAGGAACACCUGUGGCAAAGGCGAGUCUCUGGGCCAUUUCUGACACUGAGGCGCGAAAGCGUGGGGAGCGAACGGAAUUAGAUACUCCGGUAGUCCACGCCGUAAACGAUGGGCACUAGGUGUGGUGGGUAUCGACCCCUGCCGUGCCGCAGUUAACACAAUAAGUGCCCCGCCUGGGGACUACGAGCGCAAGCUUAAA
rnacentral:rRNA from 1 species